rnacentral:rRNA from 1 species
AUUGAACGCUGGCGGCAGGCCUAACACAUGCAAGUCGAACGAGUCGCGCACGUGUGAGUAAUAUCUGGGAAACUGCCUGAUGGAGGGGGAUAACUACUGGAAACGGUCGCUAAUACCGUAUACCCUCAGAUGUGCCCAUAUGGGAUUAGCUAGUAGGUGGGGUAAAGGCUCACCUAGGCGACGAUCCCUAGCUGGUCUGAGAGGAUGACCAGCCACACUGGAACUGAGACACGGCCCAGACUCCUACGGGAGGCAGCAGUGGGGAAUAUUGCACAAUGGGAGCAAGCCUGAUGCAGCCAUGCCGCGUGUAUGAAGAAGGCCUUAGGGUUGUAAAGUACUUUCAGUGGGGAGGCGUUACCCGCAGAAGAAGCACCGGCUAACUCCGUGCCAGCAGCCGCGGUAAUUC